ACAUUUUUGGCCAAUUUCCGGCCAACUGGUUCACACCCACCUUGAUUUGAACACAUAUUAGUGAUCCUCUCAUCGAAACGAAUAAAAUGAUGUAUUAUUUGUCAAUUUUGGUGAAGGUUAAAUUUUCCGGCCACCGUGCACGGCGGCGGUGGUGGCGGUCCGGCGACCGGCCGGCGAGACUUCAAGAGACAGAAUGCUCUCCUCUUCACGCGGAUCACGGAAAUGAAAUCUGAUUUUCAAUCGAGGUUUAUAAAAUUCUGAAAUGCGAGGACAAAGGCUGGAAUGCAUGUGGCUAGAAAGGCAGUCCCUUUAGAGGGCAAUAAAGAACUGUA